CUACGGGCCGCUCCAGUGGGGAAUAUUGCACAAUGGACGAAAGUCUGAUGCAGCAACGCCGCGUGGAGGAUGACACAUUUCGGUGCGUAAACUCCUUUUAUAUAGGAAGAUAAUGACGGUACUAUAUGAAUAAGCACCGGCUAACUCCGUGCCAGCAGCCGCGGUAAUACGGAGGGCGCAAGCGUUACUCGGAAUCACUGGGCGUAAAGAGCGUGUAGGCGGAUUAAAAAGUCAGAAGUGAAAUCCUAUAGCUUAACUAUAGAACUGCUUCUGAAACUCCUAAUCUAGAAUAUGGGAGAGGUAGAUGGAAUUUCUGGUGUAGGGGUAAAAUCCGUAGAGAUCAGAAGGAAUACCGAUUGCGAAGGCGAUCUACUAGAACAUUAUUGACGCUGAGACGCGAAAGCGUGGGGAGCAAACAGGAUUAGAUACCCUCGUAGUC
rnacentral:rRNA from 1 species